UACGGGGGGGGCAAGCGUUGUUCGGAAUUACUGGGCGUAAAGGGCUCGUAGGCGGCCAACUAAGUCAGACGUGAAAUCCCCAGGCUUAACCUGGGAACUGCGUCUGAUACCGGAUGGCUUGAAUCCGGGAGAGGGAUGCAGAAUUCCAGGUGUAGCGGUGAAAUGCGUAGAUAUCUGGAGGAACACCGGUGGCGAAGGCGGCUUCCUGGACCGACACUGACGCUGAGGCGCGAAAGCUAGGGGAGCAAACGGG
rnacentral:rRNA from 1 species